rnacentral:rRNA from 1 species
CAAUGGGCGAAAGCCUGACCGAGCGACGCCGCGUGCAGGACGAAGGCCUUCGGGUUGUAAAAUGCUUUCGACAGGGAUGAACGGUAGGGGUGUGAAUAGCGUUCCUAUUUGACAGUACCUGGAGAAGAAGCCACGGCUAACUCCCUGCCAGCAGCCGCGGUUAUACGGAGGGGGCAAGCGUUGUUUGGAUUUAUUGGGCGUAAAGCGCGUGUAGGCGGUACGGUAAGUCGGAUGUUAAAGACCCACGGCGCACCCGGGGGAGUGCGGUCGAUACGGCCGUGCUAGAGGACAGGUGAGGAAAGUGGAAUUCCUGGAGGAGUGGUGAAAUGGGUAGAUAUAAGGAGGAACACCGGUGGCGAAGGCGGC